rnacentral:rRNA from 1 species
AUACGGAGACUACGAGCGUUACUCGGAUUCACUGGGCGUAAAGGGAGCGCAGGCGGAAUGGUGUGUUAGGUGUGAAAUCUCGGGGCUUAACUCCGAAAUUGCGCCUAAAACUAUCAAUCUAGAGUCUUGGAGAGGUAAGCGGAAUUUCCAGUGUAGCGGUAAAAUGCGUAGAUAUUAGAAGGAACACCAGUGGCGAAGGCGGCUUGCUGGGCCAUUACUGACGCUGAGGCACGAAAGCGU